rnacentral:misc_RNA from 1 species
AAGUCGUAACAAGGUUUCCGUAGGUGAACCUGCGGAAGGAUCAUUACCGAGUUAGGGUUGCCUUUUUAGGUGCCCGACCUCCCAACCCUUUGUCUAUGAUACCUAUUGUUGCUUCGGCGCGCCCGAGGGGUCGUACCCUCGCCUGGACUUGUGCCGGGAGCGUGGCCGCCGAUGGCCCAAUUUAAACUAUUGAACCCCAAAACCUGUCGUCUGAAAACGUUAUGAUUUAUAAUCAAAAACAAAACUUUCAACAACGGAUCUCUUGGUUCUG